rnacentral:rRNA from 1 species
UACGGGGGGGCAAGCGUUGUUCGGAAUUACUGGGCGUAAAGGGCUCGUAGGCGGCCAACUAAGUCAGACGUGAAAUCCCUCGGCUUAACCGGGGAACUGCGUCUGAUACUGGAUGGCUAGAGGUUGGGAGAGGGAUGCGGAAUUCCAGGUGUAGCGGUGAAAUGCGUAGAUAUCUGGAGGAACACCGGUGGCGAAGGCGGUUCUCUGGGCAUGACCUGACGCUGAGGAGCGAAAGUGUGGGGAGCGAACAGG